rnacentral:rRNA from 1 species
CAGCCGCCGCGGUAAUACGAAGGGUGCAAGCGUUACUCGGAAUUACUGGGCGUAAAGCGUGCGUAGGUGGUGGUUUAAGUCCGUUGUGAAAGCCCUGGGCUCAACCUGGGAAUUGCAGUGGAUACUGGGUCACUAGAGUGUGGUAGAGGAUAGUGGAAUUUCCGGUGUAGCAGUGAAAUGCGUAGAGAUCGGGAGGAACAUCAGUGGCGAAGGCGGCCAUCUGGGACAACACUGACGCUGAGGCGCGAAAGCGUGGGGAGCAAACAGGAUUAGAUACCCCCGUAGUCCCUGUCUCUUAUAC